UUCAGGUUAGUUUAAGUGGUAGAACAUUAGAUUUUGGCUCUAAGAAUAACGGUUCGAUCCCGUUACCUGAAA
rnacentral:tRNA from 1 species